GACGAACGCUGGCGGCGUGCUUAACACAUGCAAGUCGAACGGAAAGGCCCUGCUUGCAGGGUACUCGAGUGGCGAACGGGUGAGUAACACGUGGGUGAUCUGCCCUGCACUUCGGGAUAAGCUUGGGAAACUGGGUCUAAUACCGGAUAGGAGCCAUCUUUAGUGUGGUGGUUGGAAAGUUUUUUCGGUGUAGGAUGAGCUCGCGGCCUAUCAGCUUGUUGGUGGGAUAAUGGCCUACCAAGGCGGCGACGGGUAGCCGGCCUGAGAGGGUGUACGGCCACAUUGGGACUGAGAUACGGCCCAGACUCCUACGGGAGGCAGCAAUGGGGAAUAUUGCACAAUGGGCGCAAGCCUGAUGCAGCGACGCCGCGUGGGGGAUGAAGGCCUUCGGGUUGUAAACUCCUUUCGCUAGGGACGAAGCUUUGUUGUGACGGUACCUAGAUAAGAAGCACCGGCUAACUACGUG
rnacentral:rRNA from 1 species